rnacentral:tRNA from 1 species
GCACCGAUGGUGUAAGUCGUAGCAUCUCUGCUUGGAAAGCAGAAGGUGCGGGUUCCAGUCCCGCCUGGUGCA